rnacentral:rRNA from 1 species
GACAGAGGGUGCAAACGUUGUUCGGAAUUACUGGGCGUAAAGCGUGUGUAGGCGGUCUGCUAAGUCGGGUGUGAAAGCCCCGGGCUCAACCCGGGAAGUGCACUCGAAACUGGCAGGCUAGAGUGUCGGAGAGGUUGGUGGAAUUCUCGGUGUAGAGGUGAAAUUCGUAGAUAUCGAGAGGAACACCGGUGGCGAAGGCGGCCAACUGGACUGGUAUUGACGCUGAGGUGCGAAAGCGUGGGGAGCAAACAGG